CCUAAUGAAGCACAGAGAGCUAUUGGGAUACAAUAGGCACGAGGUGCUCCGGGGUAUGUGGAAAGGUGCAAUGGUUGAAGGACUUACUUUUGGAAAUGCGGUUGUUUGCUUGAAUUCAGGGGUACAAUCAGGGCUCGAUUGCAACAAAAGGUCAGCGGGAUGCCUCAAAUGGGGCGCCCAAGGGAAGACUACUAAUGAAGCUGUGCAGGGUGACAUGGGCUGGACAAUUUUGAAGUGAGAGAAGCUCACAGUAAAAUUGAUUAUGAAGAACGACUGAGGAAUAUGGCAGAAAGUAAAUGGGCUGUGAGAGUGUUGAGGUAUUUGUACAGAAAAAAAAAACGUUGAUUCACAGUGGAGGAAAAGAAUUGUGUAGCUUACCAGCAAGUAUAUGGCCUCUAGGGCGAGCAAAGGAGUAACAAUGAACGUCAAGCGGAAAGUCAGAGUAGUUGAAAUAAUUUCAUGGGUGGCGGCAAUGGAAAAGAAACCUACCAUGAGUAACUACUUAAAAGGAAAACAGGAAAUCAGGAAAGAAAUAAUUUAUGAUAACUUAAAGGAAAGCUCAUUACUUUUCGAAGCGAGAUCAGGAUGGCUUAGAACACGCACCUAUAAAGCGAGAUAUAUGAAGCAACAAGAAGCAUGUGCUUGCUGCGGUAAAGCUAGGGAAACGGCGGAGCAUGUUUUAUUAGAAUGCGAAGGUAUCUGCCCAGCGGUCGAUUUAGGCAUCACUGGGCUCCUUGAAGCUCUUGCGUUCAGCGAUAACAGGGGAACACAAAACAUGUCCGCAAUAUAGAUUAGUAAGAGGCGAUUGGAAGAUUGGUGGAAGUAGGGAAACGACAAAAACAGCGAUGUACAAAAACAAAGUUCACAAUAGGAGGUAAGAAAAUUUGGUUAUGGGAAUUCAUCGCGCGCUUUUUUUUUCUUCUUUUUUUACCUAGGUUGGACAUUAGAAAGUAUAAUAGCGAGAGCUUGGUGGCGCAGCCCACCACCCCGCUCCAAAGGGGACGCUCAUAACAUCCAUCCAUCCACCCAUCCAUCCAUCCACGAGCGGCGGAACCGUUAACGCUGCCCUGACUCCACUAUAGAGCCGCUUCACAGAAUGGAGACACACCGCGGAGAUUAUUUGAAAUUCCCUUCUCGAUAUUGCUUUAUGUUAUUUUGAAUUUAGAAGCAUCACCAGGAAGUUUUUAUAAACUUCUUGGCUUCAGCAAAGUGGUGUGAGAAUAUUGGAGUACGGUGUCUUUUCCGUUUCGAUUUUUGUGCAUAUUACGGCAUGGAAACAUGAACGUUUCUGGGCAAUAGGCAUACAUUUUAUAUGACAAAUUGUACGUUUAUAUCUUCUUUGGUGUAUUUGUAUUACGUCUUCUACAAAUGCUUAGCUUCAAUAAUUUCGAAAGAAAGUGUAUUAAAAUCCCAACGUAUGGCAGAAAUUCCUGUUUUAGAUCUGUCGCCUGAUCGCUAUUCAAAGUGCACUGUCAACACCAAAGGCGGGUCUCUUGUUAAAUAUUUCCGUCCGACCGAUGGCGUAGAUAUUGCUUAGGCAAAAACGUAAGAAGCAGCGGUUUGUACGUUUAUUGGGCUAGGAUACAAAUUCCUGCGGUGAUGACGGAUGUACGUGGAAAAAUAGGAUAACUUUCACCUUUACGACAGAAUAUGUCCAGGUGUGUGUUUCAAAACUAGAAAAUCCAUCUGUGUUUCUUUAAAUUUCUUACAGGCUGUUAUUUCCAUAGAGUUCCCUCCUACGGAAAGUAGCUGCUCGAAAAUGAAGAAGUUACUGGCUGUUCUGUUUACAAUAUUCGCAAACUAUGUGCCAUACACUUACCAAUCAUCCCCCGCUCCCUCUCAGAAACGCUCAGUGCCUUAUGCUAAACCCUUCGCUUUCUUCAGUGGU